CUCCAACAAGGCGAAGGAGUUCGCCUCUAACCGCUUCCGCUGAAGCUGAUGACUCCUGUCCAGGC
rnacentral:ncRNA from 2 species